rnacentral:rRNA from 1 species
UACGAAGGGGGCUAGCGUUGUUCGGAAUUACUGGGCGUAAAGCGUGCGCAGGCGGUCUGUUAAGACCGAUGUGAAAUCCCCGGGCUUAACCUAGGAACUGCAUUGGUGACUGGCAGGCUUUGAGUGUGGCAGAGGGAGGUAGAAUUCCACGUGUAGCAGUGAAAUGCGUAGAGAUGUGGAGGAAUACCGAUGGCGAAGGCAGCCUCCUGGGCCAACACUGACGCUCAUGCACGAAAGCGUGGGGAGCAAACAGG